rnacentral:tRNA from 1 species
GGGGGCGAGCGCCAGGCGCGGUCCGAACGGUGAUGCGCGUCGAGUUGGCACUUGACUGGGGGUCAAGGGGUCGCAGGUUCAAAUUCUGUCGUCCCGACCA